rnacentral:rRNA from 1 species
UGCAAGUCGAACGCUUCUUUCCUCCCGAGUGCUUGCACUCAAUUGGAAAGAGGAGUGGCGGACGGGUGAGUAACACGUGGGUAACCUACCCAUCAGAGGGGGAUAACACUUGGAAACAGGUGCUAAUACCGCAUAACAGUUUAUGCCGCAUGGCAUAAGAGUGAAAGGCGCUUUCGGGUGUCGCUGAUGGAUGGACCCGCGGUGCAUUAGCUAGUUGGUGAGGUAACGGCUCACCAAGGCCACGAUGCAUAGCCGACCUGAGAGGGUGAUCGGCCACACUGGGACUGAGACACGGCCCAGACUCCUACGGGAGGCAGCAGUAGGGAAUCUUCGGCAAUGGACGAAAGUCUGACCGAGCAACGCCGCGUGAGUGAAGAAGGUUUUCGGAUCGUAAAACUCUGUUGUUAGAGAAGAACAAGGACGUUAGUAACUGAACGUCCCCUGACGGUAUCUAACCAGAAAGCCACGGCUAACUACGUGCCAGCACCGGUAAUA